GAUGAAUUCGUAUAGUGGUUAGUACCCCGCUUUGUGGCAGCGGAAACGCGAGUUCGAUUCUCGCAUUCGUCA
rnacentral:tRNA from 1 species